rnacentral:rRNA from 1 species
AGAGUGAACGCUGGCGGUAGGCCUAACACAUGCAAGUCGAACGGCAGCACAGUGGUAGCAAUACCAUGGGUGGCGAGUGGCGGACGGGUGAGGAAUACAUCGGAAUCUACCUUUUCGUGGGGGAUAACGUAGGGAAACUUACGCUAAUACCGCAUACGCCCUUCGGGGGAAAGCCGGGGGAUCGCAAGACCUGGCGCGGAUAGAUGAGCCGAUGUCGGAUUAGCUAGUUGGUGAGGUAAUGGCUCACCAAGGCGACGAUCCGUAGCUGGUCUGAGGAGGAUGAUCAGCCACACUGAACUGAGACACGGUCCAGACUCCGUACGGGAGGCAG